AAACUCUCAAAUAAAGAUAGCUUUGCAGCCAUCUCUGUUUGGAUUUGGGCUUUGCUGCAUUUAAUGUGGCUAGUCUUAAAUGUAUUAGCUGGUCCUCAAUUGAGGUUUUUGGUUCUACUCAGCGUGAUAAUUAUCUAACGUUGAGGACAGUCUCAGAACUGGCCAUAGGCUCUCUCUUGGAUUGCUUCUAAAAUUGUCUCGAGGACAAUUGCUUGAU
rnacentral:misc_RNA from 1 species